AAAUACUAAAGUGGAUCAACCUGUCAACUAUGUUCACACUUGCUGAGAUUGUUUGAAGGAACCGAAGCUGACCUCCAGCCUAAUUUGACUUAACUAUUUGUCUUGGGGCUUGGUAUACACUGGAUCGGAUUCCUCCUUCAGGUCUGAAAGGUAAAAGUCUGAGUGAUUUUGGUUUCCUUAUCUCCUCCCUUUGGCAUCCUAAUAAAAUAAAAUAAAAGAUUGAGAUGAUUUCUUGCGGUUUAGAGGGGUAGGUACAUUACCGAUGACCCCAUUAUUCUACUCUAAUAGAAUGAUCACACAUUGUUGGAAGUGAGGGGUAGGUACAUUACCGAUGACCCCACUAUUCGCCUACACUUUGUCAAGAAAAGAAAAAGAAAAAAAAAUAAUAAAAAAAUUGAAAAGAAGGUGAAUAAGAUGGACUGCAUCAGCAUCUUUGUUCAUUGGAAUUGAGAUAAAAAAGAUUCAGAGAAGGGAGAUAUAGAGUAAAAGAAACCAGAACAAGACUACCUGUUUACUCAGAUACAUGUUGGGGUAAGAGUCCAUGUGUCUUGUGAUCGAUACUCCCAAGGUAAAGCAUACACAUUUAUUUAUGUUAAGAAAUGAGGUUGGUAGAGGGGAAUGUCAGACAUGAUUUGCUAAGAUGUUGGAUAGGUGAAUUUGGUUGCUAAGCUAGGAUAUUGUAUAAUGUGCUUCUCUGAUUAGGACUUCUUAGAUGUGGAUUGCAAUAUUGUAGAGGUGAUGAUUCUAAGUUUUAAAUCAUGUGAGUCGCUGCUGUUUUCAAAACCUCUUUCAGAGAGACUGCCCGUCUGUUUUGCUUGAGUACAACCAAAAGGGUAAGUCUGGGGGAGUUGAUAGACCAUAUAUUUUACCCAUUUUUAAUCAUGGUCUAUAAGUGUUUUAAAGUGUUUUAAGAUGCAAUUAUUAUGUUUUGGAGUCUAUUUAGAGUAUUUACAGGUUCAGGGACGUUUAGGAGAAAUAUGGUGAUUUUUGAGUCUUUU
rnacentral:lncRNA from 1 species